rnacentral:misc_RNA from 1 species
CUAACACCGGUAAAAACAAACAUGGCAGUGCAAGAGGAAAAUGCAGAUUGGUUGUAGCAUUUUUUCUUUGUUUACGUGGUGAGUUUAAUUACCAAACAGUUUAUCUUCGUUUAAUGGCAAGCAAACAAUAUGAUGUAUUGUAAAGAAGUUUAGUUACAGCCCAGCUUUGUGGGAAUGACUCAUAAUUUUUCGACAAGUUGAGGAAAUUCGAACUAUUAAAGAAUUUUGUUGUAGAAUAUGCCUCGCUACGACAGUGAUGAGGAAAAAAAGAAACGAAAGAAGAAGAAAAAGAAGCGUUCCAGGUCGAGGUCUGUAAGUAGUGGAGACAGCAGAUUGUCAUCAAAGCAUAAAAAAUCAAAGAAGUCAAAGCAUCAUCGACGUUCACCAUCAUUGUCUCCAGAAAGGUCAAGACGAAGAUCAAGGUCAAGGAGCAGGAGAAGGUCACCUAGCUUAGAGAGAGGGAGAUAUAGGUCAAGGUCAAGAUCUCGCAGCAGAGAUCGUUAUUCAAGACGGAGAUCUAGAAGUCGUGACCGAAGAUCCAGAAGUUACGACAGAAGAUCACGAUCAUCCAGUCGCAGCAGGCGAAGAUCUCGUUAUUCAAGGUCAUUAAGCAGAGACAGGCAAAGGUCAAAAAGAUCCCGUUCAAAAGAGAGACGUAGGGAUAAAAGUCCCAAAAAUAAGGCAACAGAGGAUAUUCCUGGCUUUGCCGACAUGACACCAGCAGAGCAGGCCCAGGCCAGAAUGCAUAUGGCCCUCAAAGCUGCAGCUGCGGCAGAUGAAAAGAUCAAAGAGCAGCUGACUGGUUCAGCGGCAGGGACGGAAAGUAAAACCCACCAGGAACAGCUGCAGUUCUCCAACGCCAUCAAGGACAUUGAGAGCUCCUCCUUCAUUCAAUCUUCAUUUGUCUCCAACAGAUAUGUAAGGGGUUUUGCCUCAAUAUUUUCUCAAAAAAAGUGGGUUUGCUUUUAUAAAGAUUACCAUCUUGAACUGACUCUGUUAAAACACUUGUCAUUACAAAUAUUUGUUCAUUGUGAACCUGUCUUAACACACCUUUAAUGGAUUCGAAACUAAAGCUUAACUUCAAUAUCUCAAACACUCGAAUACAAUGGAUAUGUAAGUUUGAUUUUUAAGUCCCAAUCACACAAUUUUUAAGUAUUUUUACCUUCGAUAUCUCAAACGUUUUAACAAGUCCUAUUUAGUUCGAAAUAACAAAGUUUGACUGUAUCUAUAAAGGCUCAAUCACAUGUCUUUAAAAAACAUAUUCCUACAGGAUAAAGAAAAGACAGGAUCUAAAAAGGAAGAAGAGUUUUCUUUUGGCACAGCUGCUGAGUUUAAGCCUGACAUGGCAGUGAAGAAGAUUCUGGAGGUGGAUGAUUUGUCUAAACUAGCUCACUCCAAUGUAAGUCCUUUUAUGUUAUUGUGGUCUGUCUUCUAUUGUGAAAGAAUUAAGCAGAACAAUAGUCUGGGGUUAUCAAUAUUAUUCUUUUCUUUUUCUCACCAAUAAUGGCAAUUUUUGGAUUCAAUGUUUGAAAUUCAGUACCAAAAGAUUUCUAGACAUAGUUGACAUUGUAGACUUAAAGUAAUGUUACAUUUAUUGCCCAAUGACAAACUAAAUGAGGAGAAAAAAAGAAGAAAUGUAUACUGAUAUUACUGUAUACCUAAAUGAUUCUACAUUCUUUAAUCUAUACUAUCACACCAUUAUUAUGGAGACUUAUGCAUUAAUAAUUACUAUAUAAAGUGUUUUUGAACAAACCAGUAUGUUUGAAAUCAUUUUCUAUUCAUUGUAGCUGUGUGUUGAUCCUGAAGUCAAAAUGGACCAAUGGGUUGAGCGACUGAAGUCACUGAGGCAGAAAAAAUUGGAGGGUGAAGUCAUCAAAUGAAAAAUGAACUUCUACAUGAUUCUAGUACAUGUACAUGAACUUUGAAGCGAAUUGUUAAUGAGUGGAACUCCUGUUUCAGUUGUUACAUGUUCAUCAGAAACCUAACCAUCAACAAUCGUGUUCUCCAGAAGACCUAAAACUCUGUUGAAUUUGAAAGAGUUGUACUUUGUCAAGUGCUAUGGUGAUUUGAAGAAAAUUGAUAUAUAUCAUAUAUCAUAGGACAUAUGUCCUACAAAAGUUGUGUUUCAUUAGUCUUAGAAAUGGACAUGUUCAUGUAAACACUUGGUUCAACAUUUAUUGUAUAUUUUACCAUAUUUUGUCCACUUUUCAUCACAAUUCAUACAGCUUAAUAGGAUAAGAAGAGAAAAAUAAAAUACCACGAUAGUUAAUUAAAAUUUUUAAAAAUAUC